rnacentral:ncRNA from 1 species
GAGAAAGCGUUGAGGAAGACCGUAAUUAACAAAUUGUCUCUAGCGAGUCUGGAUGGUGUAAGCAGACGUCAAUAGUUAGUUGAGGAUCACUUUUGAGCAGAUGGCUGAAUGAAGUAGGUUAUCUCGGCGACCACCGUUAUCUGGAUUUUGAGGCAUUUUAAUGCGAAUAAAGGUGGUACCGUGCAAGUCAAUGCGCCCUUUAA